rnacentral:rRNA from 1 species
CCUACGGGAGGCAGCAGUGGGGAAUAUUGCGCAAUGGGGGCAACCCUGACCCAGCGACGCCGCGUGAGUGAAGAAGGAUCUCGGUUCGUAAAGCUCUAUCAGCCGGGACGAAAAUGACGGUACCUGCCUAAGAAGCACCGGCUAACUACGUGCCAGCAGCCGCGGUAAUACGUAGGGGGCGAGCGUUGUCCGGAUUUACUGGGUGUAAAGGGAGCGUAGACGGCAGCGUAAGUCUGCAGUGAAAUGCCGGGGCUUAACCCCGGAACUGCCUUGGAAACUGUGCGUCUGGAGUUCAGGAGGGGUAAGCGGAAUGCCGAGUGUAGAGGUGAAAUGCGUAGAUAUUAGGAGGAACACCGGUGGCGAAGGCGGCUUACUGGACAGUAACUGACGUUGAGGCUCGAAAGCGUGGGGAGCAAACAGGAUUAGAUACCCCUGUAGUC